rnacentral:rRNA from 1 species
GAUGAACGCUGGCGGCGUGCCUAAUACAUGCAAGUCGAGCGAACAGACGAGGAGCUUGCUCCUCUGACGUUAGCGGCGGACGGGUGAGUAACACGUGGAUAACCUACCUAUAAGACUGGGAUAACUUCGGGAAACCGGAGCUAAUACCGGAUAAUAUAUUGAACCGCAUGGUUCAAUAGUGCAAGACGGCUUUGCUGUCACUUAUAGAUGGAUCCGCGCCGGAUUAGCUAGUUGGUAAGGUAACGGCUUACCAAGGCAACGAUGCGUAGCCGACCUGAGAGGGUGAUCGGCCACACUGGAACUGAGACACGGUCCAGACUCCUACGGGAGGCAGCAGUAGGGAAUCUUCGGCAAUGGGCGAAAGCCUGACGGAGCAACGCCGCGUGAGUGAUGAAGGUCUUCGGAUCGUAAAGCUCUGUUGUUAGGGAAGAACAAAUGUGUAAGUAACUAUGCACGUCUUGACGGUACCUAAUCAGAAAGCCACGGCUAACUACGUG